GCGCUUGCUUUGGCAGCACAUGUACUAAAAUUGGAACGAUACAGAGAUUAGCAGGGCCCCUGCGCAAGGAUGGCAUGUAAAUUCAUGAAGCAUUCCAUAUUUAA